GGCGUAUUUCGCGUUGGCGGAGUUCGACCGCCGCAGGACGCCAUGAUCGCCUUCAUCGACGCUCAUCGCGAGGCCUGCGGGGUCGAGCCGAUCUGCAGGGUGCUGCCGAUCGCCCCG
rfam:Roseomonas cervicalis ATCC 49957 contig00698, whole genome shotgun sequence.